GCUCAGUUGGUAAAGCAUAAGGCUCUUGACCUUGUGGACGUGGGUUCAAGUCCCGC
rnacentral:tRNA from 1 species